rnacentral:lncRNA from 1 species
AAAGUCGGACAAAAAAUUAAAAAAGAGAAAAGUUAAUGCAAAAUAAAAAAAAGUAUGAGAAUUUAAAAGCGCAAAUAAGAAAUGAAAGGAAAUUUGUGGGAAAAAAAUAGAAUAGCAAGAAAAGAAUAAAAAUAAAAAGACAAAAGAUUUGGAAUAAAAAACAAAACAACAAAAAAAUUAAAACAAGUAAAAAUGAAAGCAUAUGAAAAAAAAAAGCAAGAAGAAGGAAAUUUGUGAAGGGAAAAAGUUAUUAAAAAAAUUACAAAGUAGAAAAAAAAUAAGAAAAUAAAAAAGAUUCGAAAAAUAAAAAAAAUUGAACUUUAUAAAAAUUUUUUAGAAUAUAAAUAAAAAAUAACUGAAAAAAUAAAUUAAGAGAAAAAAUUAAAUAAAAUACCAAAAAAGGAAAAAAUAAAAAUAAACAAAAAAAAAGUAACAAAGUAAGAAAAUAAAAAAUUCGCGAAUCAAAAAAAUAUAAUGAAACAAAAUGAAUAAAAAUUUCAAAUAUAAAAUGGAAAAAUCUUUUAGUUUAGAAUGUACAAAAAAAAAAAAUAGCAAAGAGAGGACAAAGAUAUAAAAUAUGAAAGAUGAAAAAUAAAAUAAAAGUUAAUAAAAAAUAUAAAUAAAAAUAAAAGAAAGUGACAAAAAGAGAAGUUUGAGGUUUUAAAAUUAUAAAGAAGAAAUAAAAAAAAAAGUGUGAACAAAAAGAUUUAAGAAAAAGCAAGAAAAAAAUAAAAAAGGAAAAUACAAAAUACAUAAAAUAAAUUUUGACAAAAAAAUGAGAAAAAGAAGAAAAAAAUAAAAAAUGAAGAGGCAAAAAUAUGAAAGAAAAGAAAAAGAAAAAAAUUUAUGGAAACUUUUAAAACAAAGGAAAAAGUGAACAAAAAAAAAUGAAAGCACAUAAAAAAAGAAUAAAAAUUUGAAAGGGGAAAAAGUUAAUGAAAAAUUAUAAAAAUGCAAUAGAAAAUAACCAAGAAUGAUAAAAGAAAAAAAGAUAGAAAAAUAAAAAAUUCCAAAAC